GACGAACGCUGGCGGCAUGCCUAACACAUGCAAGUCGAACGAGACCUUCGGGUCUAGUGGCGCACGGGUGCGUAACGCGUGGGAACCUGCCCUUAGGUUCGGAAUAACUCCCCGAAAGGGGUGCUAAUACCGGAUAAUGUCUUCGGACCAAAGAUUUAUCGCCUUUGGAUGGGCCCGCGUUGGAUUAGCUAGUUGGUAGGGUAAAAGCCUACCAAGGCGACGAUCCAUAGCUGGUCUGAGAGGAUGAUCAGCCACACUGGGACUGAGACACGGCCCAGACUCCUACGGGAGGCAGCAGUGGGGAAUAUUGGACAAGGGGCGAAAGCAUGAUCCAGCAAUGCCGGGUGAGUGAUGAAGGCCUUAGGGUUGUAAAGCUCUUUUACCCGGGAUGAUAAUGACGGUACCGGGAGAAUAAGCUCCGGCUAACUCCGUG
rnacentral:rRNA from 1 species